rnacentral:lncRNA from 1 species
UGCCCUAUCAUUUAGGAUAAACACAUACCCUGAUAUCGACUUGCUAUCAUCUACUUUCCAAUGAUCCUCUCUUGGAUAUCUUAUUUGAUAUCCAAGUCUUGAUCGAUUGUAUCAUUGGGAUAUCAUUCUCAAUAAGCAGUAUAUAUCAUCGACAUACAAAAUCAAGAAGAUAACAGCACUCCCACUUGUCUUCUUAUACA